GGUUCCACUUGUGUGCCAUGGUCAUUCUCGCCCUGUUGUGGAUUUGUUUUACAGUCCAAUCACUCCAGAUGGCUUCUUCCUCAUCAGUGCGAGCAAGGAUUCUAGUCCCAUGCUUAGAAAUGGAGAGACUGGUGAUUGGAUUGGAACGUUUGAAGGGCAUAAGGGUGCAGUGUGGAGUUGCUGUUUGGAUACUAAUGCUUUACGGGCUGCUUCUGGUUCUGCUGACUUUACUGCGAAAGUGUGGGAUGCAUUAACUGGGGAUGAACUGCAUUCAUUUGAACACAAACACAUUGUUCGAGCUUGUGCAUUUUCAGAGGAUACUAGCCUUCUGCUCACUGGGGGAGUGGAGAAAGUCCUUCGUAUUUUUGAUUUGAGUCGUCCAGAUGCACCUCCAAGAGAAGUUGACAAGUCUCCUGGCUCAGUGAGAACUGUUGCAUGGCUACACAGUGAUCAGACAAUACUAAGUUCUUGCGCUGAUAUGGGGGGCGUGAGACUAUGGGAUGUUAGAAGUGGAAAGAUAGUGCAAACACUUGAGACCAAAUCAUCUGUAACCAGUGCCGAAGUGAGUCAAGAUGGUCGAUAUAUAACAACUUGUGAUGGUUCUACAGUGAAAUUUUGGGAUGCAAACCACUUUGGGUUAGUGAAGAGCUACAACAUGCCUUGCACAGUAGAAUCAGCUUCAUUGGAACCCAAGUACGGGAAUAAGUUCAUUGCUGGAGGAGAAGAUAUGUGGAUUCAUGUAUUUGAUUUUCAUACUGGCGACGAGAUAGCAUGCAACAAGGGUCAUCAUGGUCCUGUUCACUGUGUGCGUUUCUCACCUGGAGGGGAAUCAUAUGCCUCUGGAUCUGAGGAUGGAACCAUCAGAAUAUGGCAGACAGGCCCUUUGACACAUGAUGAGAAUGUGGGAUUCACAGCAAAUGGAUCAAUUGGAAAGGUGAGCGUAACAGCGGAAGAAGUUUCUCGCAAGAUUGAGGGCUUCCACGUUUCGGAAGAUGGGAGGGCCAAAGAAAAAGAAGAAGCAGGGAAGGACUGAUGCAGGGAAAGAUUGGCCUCGUCUUUUUAUUUGCUGUUUGUUUUGGUUUGGUGGGGUUGUUGGCUGUCGUUGGCAUGAGGCUGACGUGUAUAGGUUGGCCUCAAUCUAUAGGGUUUAAGACCCCCCUAAUUUUUGUACAAGGCCUAAAGUAAUGCAUUAAAUAGAUAGGCUGGACCAUAUUGUUUUGUAUUUUAACAAGCUUUAAAAUC
rnacentral:misc_RNA from 1 species